AGAGAGCGGCGUACGGGUGCGUAACACGUGUGCAACCUACCUUUAUCAGGGGAAUAGCCUUUCGAAAGGAAGAUUAAUACUCCAUAAUAUAUUAGAUGGCAUCAUUUAAUAUUGAAAACUCCGGUGGAUAGAGAUGGGCACGCGCAAGAUUAGAUAGUUGGUGAGGUAACGGCUCACCAAGUCAAUGAUCUUUAGGGGUCCUGAGAGGGAGAUCCCCCACACUGGUACUGAGACACGGACCAGACUCCUACGGGAGGCAGCAGUGAGGAAUAUUGGACAAUGGGUGAGAGCCUGAUCCAGCCAUCCCGCGUGAAGGAUGACGGUCCUAUGGAUUGUAAACUUCUUUUGUAUAGGAAUAAACCUACCCUCGUGAGGGUAGCUGAAGGUACUAUACGAAUAAGCACCGGCUAACUCCGUGCCAGCAGCCGCGGUAAUACGGAGGGUGCAAGCGUUAUCCGGAUUUAUUGGGUUUAAAGGGUCCGUAGGCGGACCGAUAAGUCAGUGGUGAAAUCUCAUAGCUUAACUAUGAAACUGCCGUUGAUACUGUCGGUCUUGAGUAAAUUAGAGGUAGCUGGAAUAAGUAGUGUAGCGGUGAAAUGCAUAGAUAUUACUUAGAACACCAAUUGCGAAGGCAGGUUACCAUGAUUUAACUGACGCUGAGGGACGAAAGCGUGGGGAGCGAACAGGAUUAGAUACCCUGGUAGUCCACGCCGUAAACGAUGCUAACUCGUUUUUGGGGCGCAAGCUUCAGAGACCA
rnacentral:rRNA from 1 species